rnacentral:rRNA from 1 species
AGAGUUUGAUCAUGGCUCAGGAUUAACGCUAGCGGCAGGCCUAAUACAUGCAAGUUGAACGGGAUUUCGGGUAGCAAUAUCUGAAUGAGAGUAGCGCACGGGUGCGUAACACGUAUGCAACCUACCUGUAACUGGGGGAUAGCCUCCCGAAAGGGAGAUUAAUACCGCAUAAUAUUAUUGAGUGGCAUCACUUGAUAAUUAAACCUCAGGGGGUUAUAGAUGGGCAUGCGUCCGAUUAGCUAGUUGGUGAGGUAACGGCUCACCAAGGCGACGAUCGGUAGGGGGUCUGAGAGGAUGAUCCCCCACACUGGUACUGAGACACGGACCAGACUCCUACGGGAGGCAGCAGUAAGGAAUAUUGGACAAUGGGCGCAAGCCUGAUCCAGCCAUGCCGCGUGAAGGAAGAAGGCCCUAUGGGUCGUAAACUUCUUUUAAACGGGACGAAACCCCUCGACGUGUCGAGGGCUGACGGUACCGUAAGAAUAAGGGUCGGCUAACUUCGUGCCAGCAGCCGCGGUAAUACGAAGGACCCGAGCGUUAUCCGGAUUUAUUGGGUUUAAAGGGUGCGUAGGCGGACCUAUAAGUCAGUGGUGAAAGCCCAUCGCUCAACGAUGGAAUUGCCAUUGAUACUGUAGGUCUUGAGUAUAGUCGAGGUGGGCGGAAUGUGUCAUGUAGCGGUGAAAUGCUUAGAUAUGACACAGAACACCUAUUGCGAAGGCAGCUCGCUAAGCUAUAACUGACGCUGAGGCACGAAAGUGUGGGUAGCAAACAGGAUUAGAUACCCUGGUAGUCCACACCCU